rnacentral:rRNA from 1 species
UAUGAAUAAAGAUCUAAAAUAUGUACAUAUUGCCCGUCAUUCUUAUUAAAAAUAAGACAAGUCGUAACAAAGUAAGUGUACUGGAAAGUGUACUUAGAAAG